rnacentral:snoRNA from 1 species
AUUCGGCUUAAUCGAAGGCACUUUGCAUUUUUUUAUGUAACAGUGUUCAAAAAUUAGCCAAUAGUAAAAAUGAUUACGACGGUCGCAAGGGACUUUUUAAUGAGUGACUUUGCAAUUAAAUUCGAAUCUGACAAUA